GCAAUAUUUGCAAUUCCUCAGGGAAAACAACGCACCAUUUCUAGCAGAGUACAUCCCAAUCAUGGACAUCCAUAAUAAGAAUUUCGACCUUAACUUCGCCUUUGCCGACAACAGCUCCGACCUUGCCAUCACUGACGUCAACGGGGCGUGUACACCAACAUUGUGGAGUGGCGCUACGACUGCUACGUGUGGGCCCUCGAAAAGCUCAACUUUUUCAGACAUCAAGGUAUCCUUCAGCAUGGUGGGGUGGGCCACUGACGGCUACCCUGACGCCAACGCCACCAAUGCAGAGCGCUUUUUUCAAGCACCUUCUGCCUUGGGUGUCGGGCAACAAGGGCACCCCAAGCGCCCUGGGGCCCCAUCGACACUAAUGUCCACGCGCUCACCGACGAGACCAAAAAUGAAUGCCGGCCCCUUCACGCGCCACUGGGGCAUCUACCGCUCCAACGGCCAGUCCAAGAAUCAGAUCGACCUGACGGGCCAGGGCCGAGACAUUUACCCGACCGUGGUCCGCGGGGUCAUGCGCANUUGUUGCAAAAUGGAAUCCGUCGUGCAAGAAUCUACACCUCUCAAAGAGAUAUAUUGGCUGCGUUUGCAGGAAGUGGCAUUAACCUCACCAUUUCCAUAAUGAAACCUACCUUGAUCAAAUCCAAGGAAGACGGAAGAAUCUGGGGUCCAAAAAAAAUCAUGCAUUCUUCACUCCUUGCACCAUAAGGUAAUUACGCGCGCACUCCUAGCUAAUUCUUUUUCGUAUAUAUAUAUAUAUAUUUAUAUUUGGAUAAAUAAACUUUGGAUUAGUCAUGUCCUAUUAUCCUGAUUUUCAGAAGUUUUCUAACUUUUGUUUUUUAUUAAAAAAUCUUCAAAUUUCAACGUUCUUCAAAAAGUACAGUAAGUAUAUUAUACAAAUCAACAACGAAAUGAUGAGUCACUUUGCCGGAUUGGAGUGUAAUCCCCAUUAUGUGGCAUAGUGGGACAUUUUUUUUCAAAAAAUGCUCAAAGAUGUGGAUUUUUGAAUAGAAAAGAGAAAGUUGGCGACACCGAGUAACCAAUAAAUGUUUAGUUAAAGAUGGAAAUAGUUUUGAACAGGUCUGUAUAUUUUGGAGGGUAUCCCUUCCACACCGGAAAUGGGAAUAGGACCUUUUUGCAGUCUAUAGUGAACGCGCAACGUUGGCUGCAAGAGGCUCUAAACGAGCGCGGAUUCAGCGACGUGAAGGUGAACAUAGCACAUAUUGAAGGGGUAUUGAAGCAAAACAUUUCUAAACCAUCUGAAGCCGAAUUCAAGGACGAGAUCAAGCCAGAACUUGUGCAAUAUUUGCAAUUCCUCAGGGAAAACAACGCACCAUUUCUAGCAGAGUACAUCCCAAUCAUGGACAUCCAUAAUAAGAAUUUCGACCUUAACUUCGCCUUUGCCGACAACAGCUCCGACCUUGCCAUCACUGACGUCAACGGGGCGGUGUACACCAACAUUGUGGAGUGGCGCUACGACUGCUACGUGUGGGCCCUCGAAAAGCUCA
rnacentral:lncRNA from 1 species